GACGAACGCUGGCGGCGUGCCUAAUACAUGCAAGUCGAGCGAGUCUCUUCGGAGGCUAGCGGCGGACGGGUGAGUAACACGUAGGCAACCUGCCUCUCAGACUGGGAUAACAUAGGGAAACUUAUGCUAAUACCAGAUAGGUUUUUGGAUCGCAUGAUCCGAAAAGAAAAGGCGGCUUCGGCUGUCACUGGGAGAUGGGCCUGGGGCGCAUUAGCGAGUUGGUGGGGUAACGGCCUACCAAGGCGACGAUGCGUAGCCGACCUGAGAGGGUGACCGGCCACACUGGGACUGGGACACGGCCCAGAGUCCUACGGGAAGCAGCAGUAGGGAAUUUUCCACAAUGGACGAAAGUCUGAUGGAGCAACGCCGCGUGAACGAUGAAGGUCUUCGGAUUGUAAAGUUCUGUUGUUAGGGACGAAUAAGUACCGUUCGAAUUGGGCGGUACCUUGACGGUACCUGACGAGAAAGCCACGGCUAACUACGUGCCAGCCGCCGCAGUAA
rnacentral:rRNA from 1 species